GUGAAUUAAACAUGCUUGGUGUCUUCGCUUCGGCAAGGCCCUUGCUUAAAUCACAUCCUAACACCUGUGAACUGUAAGACGUAUGAUGAGGUCUUUGGCCAAGUCAUCGUCUGCCCAUUAUCUUAACAACAAUUAAUGUACAAGUAGUCUAUAUAACGUAAUA
rnacentral:misc_RNA from 1 species